AGUAUGGACAAAACCUACGAAGGGCCUUGGGCAAGUACAUGGGUGUUAACGCUGUUUCUUACUCACUUUUUUUUUUUUUAAACAUCCCUGGCUCCUGUUAGCGUAGCGCCAGACUCUGUAGUAAGCGCUUUAUAAAUAUUAACUCAUUUUACCUUCACAAGCUAUAAGAUCCCACAGGCGGAAGUCCUCGCUGUUCUCAAAACCUGGGAGAACCUGAGCUCCCUGACCGCCCUCCUCUUACAACCACCACAAGAGCCCUCAACACCCUCUCGAGACUGAGGACAUAGAUCAGAACGUCCCUGACCCCUGGACCUUCCUGCAACACCUACCACAGGGCUUUGCACCAACUGGAGAGCUCCGGGACCAAGGAGGGAACCGUCCUUUCUCCAAAGACCUCAUCCCUUUGUCAGGGGUGGGCAGGGGGGGGGGGGGCUGGAAUCAUCCUUGCCCUGCACAUCCUCUGGCUCUGCCCUCCACUCACCCCUCCCCUCCCCCCAGGCCUGCUGACAGCCCCACCUGGUUGGCCCACCAGAGCUUGGGC